rnacentral:rRNA from 1 species
UACGUAGGGCGCAAGCGUUGUCCGGAAUUAUUGGGCGUAAAGAGCUCGUAGGCGGUCUGUCGCGUCGGCUGUGAAAACCCGGAGCUCAACUCCGGGCCUGCAGUCGAUACGGGCAGACUGGAGUUCGGCAGGGGAGACUGGAAUUCCUGGUGUAGCGGUGAAAUGCGCAGAUAUCAGGAGGAACACCGGUGGCGAAGGCGGGUCUCUGGGCCGAUACUGACGCUGAGGAGCGAAAGCGUGGGGAGCGAACAGG